rnacentral:rRNA from 1 species
AUGACCGCUAUGCAUGAUGAGAUGGAAUCACUUGAAAAUAAUGGCACUUGGGAUUUAGUAAAAUUGCCUAGAGAGAAGAAACCUAUUCGUUGCAAGUGGGUUUUCAAGAGGAAAGAAGGUGUUUCCCCUAAUGAUGAGACAAGAUAUAACGCAAGGUUAGUUGCUAAAGGUUAUAGCCAGAUUCCAGGUAUUGACUAUAACGAAGUCUUUUCUCGUGUUGUGAAGCAUAGCUCUAUUCGCACUUUACUCAGUAUUGUUGCCAUGCAUGAUCUUGAGCUUGAACAAUUGGAUGUUAAAACUGCAUUCUUACAUGGAGAAUUAGAAGAGGAUAUUUAUAUGGAACAACCUGAAGGUUUUGUUAUUCCUGGAAAAUAA